UACGUAGGGUGCAAGCGUUAAUCGGAAUUACUGGGCGUAAAGCGUGCGCAGGCGGUUGUGCAAGACAGAUGUGAAAUCCCCGGGCUUAACCUGGAAAUUGCAUUUGUGACUGUACGGCUAGAGUGUGUCAGAGGGGGGUAGAAUUCCACGUGUAGCAGUGAAAUGCGUAAAUAUCUGGAGGAACACCGGUGGCGAAGGCGGCAUCCUGGACCAACACUGACGCUGAGGAGCGAAAGCCAGGGGAGCAAACGGG
rnacentral:rRNA from 1 species